UCCUCAAUCGUCUAACGGCUAUGAUGCAGCUCUCUCAUUUGGAGUGUUUCUCUGUCAGGUCCCCUUGAUGGAAAAGCGUUCCAAGGGUCCAGCUGAGGCCAGGGUUCGACUCCCUGUUGGGGAA